AUGAGCAUGAGACUCAGCAUCUUCGAUCUACAGCAGCAUCCUCCCAAGCGUCUGCGGCUUAUCUCCCUCUACACUCCUCUGCGGACGCGGUAUCCAAGCCGCUUACCCGGCCCCGGGGAUCCUGGUGGCAUGCGACAACCAGCUGUUGCUCGUCAUGGUGUAUCGUGGACAAGGACGCCCCAGCCUCGUGAUCCUUGUAGAGGUGCACCGCCCGGAUUGGGCCGCCGACCGCCUCAACAUCCAGGGGAGAAGGUGACGGAUCUCGGCGACUGCUCGCUCUUCUUGGGCCGGGGUGACGGCCUCGCGCUCUCUGCGAAGGACUUCCCUGCCAUUAGGAGAAAUUGUGUAUAUUUUGUGAAGCACGACACAAGAAAGCAUGAGCAAUGGGUUAUUGUGUUUGAUUUGGAGUCAAACGCUUUGGACCGAAUUCCUCACCCACAAGAGCACAUGGAGGGCGGCAGCAAAAACAGUGGCUGGUUAGGCUAUUCGUGGUUCUGCCCUAGAAGGUCCUUCGUCGAGGCCCUAUGA
rnacentral:rRNA from 1 species